CAGGUAGACAGGGUAAGAGUUUAAACUGCAAAAUGGUUUAAUCACUAGAGCAGGGUCAGAUACCAGAUGGAAGAAGGUUCCAUAUGUUUGGUCACAAAAUUAUGAUAUUAGAAUUCUUUAUUGCAACAUUCCAUUAUUCCUUAGAAAUGCGUGUUUUGGCCUUUCUCUGAACCGGUUAUAAUAUAUACUUGGUUCUCUCUGUUUAAGAGAAAACCACAGCCCCAAAUGGUGUCACUGGUGCUAAAGCCCAUGAUACUAAAGCUAGAGUUAAUACCUGAGGCUAAUUGCUAUUUCUAUCCCCAAAAUAUAAUUUUAACCAACCAUUCUGGUACCUCACCAUAGAAAGAAGAUGCAAUCUGCACGAUAAAAGGUCUUGGCAUUCCCUUCUUCCCAACAUAUGUCUUGGUCUGAAGAUAAUAUUUUAUUUUGUCCCAUCCUUCUUCCUAUAUAAACCUUACAUUUUGGACAACUCUUGUGAAAGGUUAACAUGGUGGUACAUGGGAAGGCUGAAUAGCCAUCUCAGACAGUGGAUAAAACAUUAAAUUUAUUUAAGGAAAGGGGGUGGGGGAUGGGAUAUCCUUUGUACAGAAUCUUGAGGCAAGGGGACAUUGGGUCGAUGAAGGAGCUGAAAUGUCAUCCUAAUUUGCAGUCACCAGCGGGAAGCUGUUGUCCUCAGUGGGUCUGGGGGCUGAGUCCAUGGGCCUGGAAUAUGGAUGGAGUGAGGAUGGAUGAGGAUGGAAUGCAGGUGUGCGAUCAGGUGUCUUUAGGACAGUUUCCAUUCCUUAUAUGGUCUGAUUCCUGGUAUCUAGCAAGUUUUCCUGGUCUUUUGUUCUCAUGUGGCAGGAAGCUUACAUAUGGCCCUUAAGGACUAACCCCUCAGGAACACCCUUUUGGUUGCUGGAUUGAAGCUGCCUGAUUCAUGAAUCCCUUAGUACAGUAAAGUAGGUCUUUAAAUUGCCUCGGUUGAAAGUUUGUUGUCUAACAUCUCAUAUGAAUAAAAUGCAUUCUUUACUACGUAUUCAUUUCAUAUUAUAUAAGAGUCAAGAUUUUACUUUUUUCUGAACAUUAUCUUUUAAUAAUGUUAGUUUGGGUGAGGGAUGUGGGCAAAAGGCUGACUCAGGUGUGUUUAAUGGGAAGCAGUAUCAAGAUAGCCGAUUUGGUAUUCAGGAAAAUCUUUUUUUGGUGAAGCACAUUGAAAAAUGUCAAUACAAUUUAACAAUCGUCUUUUUCAAGCAUGAGAGGCGAGGAGAGGCUUGACGCGAUGAGAAAGCAAUCCAGAGCGGCAUAAUUCCUUCCAGUAAUACCAGGAAAACAAUUAUCUUUCCUGUCCUACAGCAAAAGCCUCCUAGGAGGCAAGAGAGUGCAACAGUGUUUGGACUGAACAGAACCAGGGAUACCGCUUCUUCCAGCCUCCACGUUUUAUCUGCUCACCACCUUGCAAACCACCUCUGAGACCGGCCAACACACUGUUUUGUUUUGUUUUUCUACCUUAAUUCAUGAUUGCCGAACAACCAUGAGCUCCCAAAUUCGUCAGAAUUAUCCCACCCAGCUGAAGGCUGCAGUCAACUGCCUGGCCAUCCUGCACCU